GACGAACGCUGGCGGCGUGCUUAACACAUGCAAGUCGAACGAAGUGGCGAACGGGUGAGUAAUACGUGGGUAACCUGCCCUCCUCUUUGGGAUAACCCUUGGAAACGGGGUCUACUACCGAAUAAAGGGGGCUGUGCUCGCGGCCUAUCAGCUUGUUGGGGGGGUGAUGGCCUACCAAGGCGGUGACGGGUAGCCGGCCUGAGAGGGUGACCGGCCACGUUGGCACUGAGAUACCGCCCAGAGUCGUACGGGGGGCAGCAUUGGGGGAUAUUGCGCAAUUGGCGAGAGCGUGAUGCAGCGGCGUCGCGUAAGGGAUGAGGGCUUUCGGGUUGUAGACCUAUUUCACAAUCGGUCGGGUAUGUGGAGAAGAAGCGCCGGCUAACUACGUGCCAGCAGCCGCGGUAAUUC
rnacentral:rRNA from 1 species